AAUCGGAGAGGAGAGGCGAGGUUUCGUUUCUGGGUUUGGUUCUGCUGCUACGAACUUCGUGAGAUUGAUACAUGAUCAGUUUAUGACCAUAUGGGGAUCAAUUGAAUAAGCCUGUAAGUCUAUCAUACGAAGAACAACUGAACAGGUCCCGUGAUUCAUGAUUUACUAAUAUAAUUCUCAUGUUCAUUGAACUUUUUAUUAAUUUGGUAAACUGCAAAAUGAGUUCAAAAGAAUCGUGUCACCACUGAAGUACCAGACGAGGUGUGUUACUGCCUUCCCUGAUCAGCAAGGAUUUUUUGUGCGAGUUGGUGUUCAUCAUCUGGAUGAUUCUCAGCAGAACAAGAACUUCGCAUUCAAAUGUCACAGAGAUGGGAAUGAGAUCUAUUCUAUCAAUGCUCUGAACUUCCACCCGGAUCCAAACCGACGAGCUACUAUGUCUCUCACCAGUUGCUUGCUUCCCUUCCCUCAGUCAUCAACGGCUCCUUUGGCCUCCACGUGUUGUUGCCAUAUCGCCGCCUCUUUUUCUAGCUUUCCGGUAAGCAUAUGUGCUCAUGGAUCCAAAGAUGGUAGGUUUGGUGAAAUCGAGCGUUAAGCUCGGCUGAUUCGCCCUGCACCAGCACGUACCCCGCCUCUUCAAACUGAGACAGCUCAUCCUCAACGCAGUGGUAUUGGCUCUACCAUAGCUGAUGGUAUGACUUGGGGUGCUGGAAACGCAAUUGGACACAGGGUUGUGGAUGCUGUGAUGGGACCAAGAACCAUUAAGCAUGAAACCGUUGUUUCUGAGGCUGCUGCCCCUGCUUCUGCGCCCCAUGUUGCCAACAGCAUGGGCUCUGCUUCUGCUGCGCCCCCUGUUGCCAACAUGGCCUUUGCUUCUUGUAACAGUCAGUCCAAGGCUUUC